UACAGAGGGUGCGAGCGUUGUCCGGAAUCACUGGGCGUAAAGGGCGCGUAGGCGGCUUGAUAAGGCUGCGGUGAAAGCCCGGGGCUCAACCCCGGGUCGGCCGUGGCAACUGUCGAGCUGGAGCACUGUAGAGGCAGGUGGAAUUCCGGGUGUAGCGGUGGAAUGCGUAGAGAUCCGGAAGAACACCGGUGGCGAAGGCGGCCUGCUGGGCAGUGGCUGACGCUGAGGCGCGACAGCGUGGGGAGCGAACCGG
rnacentral:rRNA from 1 species